GUAGGGAAUAUUGGGCAAUGGAGGCAACUCUGACCCAGCCAUGCCGCGUGCAGGAAGACGGUCCUCUGGAUUGUAAACUGCUUUUGAAUGGGAAGAACAUACGGUUUGCGAACCGUACUGACGGUACUAUUAGAAUAAGCACCGGCUAACUCCGUGCCAGCAGCCGCGGUAAUACGGAGGGUGCAAGCGUUAUCCGGAUUUAUUGGGUUUAAAGGGUGCGUAGGCGGCCUUAUAAGUCGGUGGUUAAAGGUAGCAGCUUAACUGUUUUACAUGCCAUCGAUACUGUAGGGCUUGAGUGAUUUGGAGGUAGCUAGAAUUCCCUGUGUAGCGGUGAAAUGCAUAGAUACGGGGAGGAAUACCGAUUGCGAAGGCAUGUUACUACGAAUUAACUGACGCUGAGGCACGAAAGCGUGGGGAUCAAACAGGAUUAGAUACCCCGGUAGUCC
rnacentral:rRNA from 1 species